AUUCUUUUAGUAUUAAUUAGUACACCUGACCUCCAAUCAGACAGUUCUGGUAUAACCACAGAAAAGAAUA
rnacentral:tRNA from 1 species